UUUAUAUUAGCUUAACAAAAGCAUAGCUUUGAAGAAGCUUAGAUCAUUUUUUUUAUGAUAUAAAA
rnacentral:tRNA from 1 species